GACGAACGCUGGCGGCGUGCUUAACACAUGCAAGUCGAACGGAAAGGCCCUGCUUUUGUGGGGUGCUCGAUUGGCGAAGGGGUGAGUAACACGUGAGUAACCUGCCCUUGACUUUGGGAUAACUUCAGGAAACUGGGGCUAAUACCGGAUAGGAGCUCCUGCUGCAUGGUGGGGGUUGGAAAGUUUCGGCGGUUGGGGAUGGACUCGCGGCUUAUCAGCUUGUUGGUGGGGUAGUGGCUUACCAAGGCUUUGACGGGUAGCCGGCCUGAGAGGGUGAACGGGCACAAGGGGACUGCGAGACGGACCAGAAUGGUACGGGAGGCAGAAGUCGGGAACAUUGCAGAAUGGGCGGAAGCCUGAUGUAGCAAUGCCGCGUGCGGGAUGACGGCCUUCGGGUUGUAAACCGCUUUGGCAUGUGACGAAGAGUGAGUGACGGUAACGGGUAAAGAAGCACCGGCUAACUACGUG
rnacentral:rRNA from 1 species